rnacentral:lncRNA from 1 species
UCAUUUUCUCUUCAAUCAAAAACCCUAAUUCUCCUUUUCCUUCAAUCAGUCAUACGUGUGUCGCUCCUCUGCCUCCCCCCAUACACGAACCGGAUAAUAUCCCCCAUCCUUCAAUCCUACUUACACCCUGAUAAUUCAAACCACUGAUUCCUAAUCUCACCUCCUACAAUCCACUAAUUCACCUCCCUUUUUACUCUUAAUCUUCGUCUUUGUCGUCAAUCUCUGUUUCUAGGGUUUCAUUUCUGCAAUUGAAUUCGUGUUUGAUUGUGUCGGUGUUGUGUUAUGCAAUGAGGUUGAAGGUUUAUGAUUUGGAUUGUUAGGCGGAUGCUUUGUUAAAGGAGAAUAUAUAAGCAAAUGCAUUUAGGUGGAAGGAAACUUUUGGAGCAUGGGAGGUGAGACAAGGUUACUGUACUGAUGAUGGCCUUGCCCACUACAAGUUCUUUCAGAUACAAAACAUCUUAUACUCCAUACCUGUUAGGUAAAGAUUAAGUGCAGCACCAAUCUGGUAUUCAACAAUGGUUGCUUAGUUGAGCAGGGCCAUUGAGGGAGGAAGAACACGCAUAUGAUGUGGCAUUUUUGACACAUAUACGUAUAGGUAUAAUAAAGCAGUAUGGUGGUUUGAGAAGACUUUAGCUCACAUACCACCACUGUUAACUGAGAUGUGGGAAUCAACUAUGGUUAAUCUUGCUCAUGCGUUAAGAAAGUUGAAGGGGUACGAUGAAGCAGUCACAUAUUAUGAAAAGGCCCUUGAGCUAUCAACAAGAAACUUAAGCACACAUGUUGGCUUUACACGUAUCACCUGCAGGAUAAUUAUACGGAUGCAAUUACAUACUAUCACAAGGCAUUUUGGAAUUAUACAGAUGACCAGUUCUGCCCAAAAAUGUUGACACUGGUUUGUAGGAUCGUUUUCAGACCCGAACGAGUCGAUCAGAAGAGUUUAUCUCUAAACGAAAGGCGGAAACAGACGUGUAGAGUUCAAUUCAGCAAGAUUCACACUAUAAACUGUUGUAUGAUUGAUUUGAGAACGUUUUACAACCUGACAACACUUCGGCAACACUUCGUUGCACAAGCCGGAAAGUUACAAAUGAUGAAAGUUUGAAAGCUAUAUAUAGAUAGUGACCCUUCCGUUUGAAACUCUUCAAACGGACAGGACAUUUCAAACUAAACCCUAUUUCAAACUUUCAGCUGCUUCAAACUUUCAACUGCUUCAAACUUUCAGCUUCAAACUUUCAGCUUCAAGUGUAGUAAACCGAGACUUGAUAUAAGACGAAGACGACAGACGGAUGCGCCAACAAACUCCCCCUCGGAUGUUGACGGAGUCUUCAGUGUCGAGUCUUCACAUCUUCAAUCUUUAUCAGUCCUCUCGAACUCUUUGAAGUAUUUGACGUUGUAAGAAUCCUCAAAUCUUUCUCUUCUCUUUUCGUCAUCAUCAACAGACUUUCCACGAACAAUCUCUACUUGGAUGUCUUCAGACUCCCCCUUUCGAUAUGUUGGGAUCGCAGCCUGGCUUGUUGAAAUCACACAGUCUUCAGGUAUCGGAACCUGGCACUCUAUCUUCAGAUAACCUGCACAUUCUCUACCCAAAAAUAAAUUUUCUGAUGAUAACUUGUAAAAACAAUCUCACCAGCUUAUGAAUCACUUACAGGAAUAAUACAAUCAAAGAAUGAUUUUACAAUGUUAAUCUUUGAUAAACCACUUGAAGAUAUAUUUUAAUUUUUCAAAAACAACACACACUCCCAAACCAUCUGUUCAUCAUGUUUAGCACUCGGAAUUUUGAAAAUUAGCUCUCCAAUACCAGUUGUCGAAAAUCUUUUUGAAUUUUUCGAAAUUUAUGCUAAAACACGCUAAAAAUCUUUUUGGAUUUUUGAAUGAAAGUAAAUGCAGAAACGAAAUAUU